AACGAACGCUGGCGGCAGGCUUAACACAUGCAAGUCGAGCCCCCCGCAAGGGGAGCGGCAGACGGGUGAGUAACGCGUGGGAAUCUACCCAUCUCUACGGAAUAACGCAUGGAAGCGUGUGCUAAUACCGUAUACGUCCUUCGGGAGAAAGAUUUAUCGGAGAUGGAUGAGCCCGCGUUGGAUUAGCUAGUUGGUGGGGUAAAGGCCUACCAAGGCGACGAUCCAUAGCUGGUCUGAGAGGAUGAUCAGCCACACUGGGACUGAGACACGGCCCAGACUCCUACGGGAGGCAGCAGUGGGGAGUAUUGGACAAUGGGCGCAAGCCUGAUCCAGCCAUGCCGCGUGAGUGAUGAAGGCCCUAGGGUUGUAAAGCUCUUUCACCGGUGAAGAUAAUGACGGUAACCGGAGAAGAAGCCCCGGCUAACUUCGUGCCAGCAGCCGCGGUAACAC
rnacentral:rRNA from 1 species